rnacentral:rRNA from 1 species
AUUGAACGCUGGCGGCAUGCCUUACACAUGCAAGUCGAACGGUAACGGGCCUUCGGGUGCCGACGAGUGGCGAACGGGUGAGUAAUACAUCGGAACGUGCCCGAUCGUGGGGGAUAACGAGGCGAAAGCUUUGCUAAUACCGCAUACGAUCUACGGAUGAAAGCAGGGGACCGCAAGGCCUUGCGCGGACGGAGCGGCCGAUGGCAGAUUAGGUAGUUGGUGGGAUAAAAGCUUACCAAGCCGACGAUCUGUAGCUGGUCUGAGAGGAUGAUCAGCCACACUGGGACUGAGACACGGCCCAGACUCCUACGGGAGGCAGCAGUGGGGAAUUUUGGACAAUGGGCGCAAGCCUGAUCCAGCCAUGCCGCGUGCAGGAUGAAGGCCCUCGGGUUGUAAACUGCUUUUGUACGGAACGAAAAGCCUUCUUUUAAUACAGGAGGGUCAUGACGGUACCGUAAGAAUAAGUACCGGCUAACUACGUG